rnacentral:rRNA from 1 species
UGGGGAAUAUUGGACAAUGGGGGCAACCCUGAUCCAGCAAUGCCGCGUGUGUGAAGAAGGCCUGAGGGUUGUAAAGCACUUUCAGUGGGGAGGAGGGAUAUUUGGUUAAGAGCUGAGUAUUUGGACGUUACCUACAGAAGAAGCACCGGCUAACUCCGUGCCAGCAGCCGCGGUAAUACGGAGGGUGCGAGCGUUAAUCGGAAUUACUGGGCGUAAAGGGUGCGUAGGUUGUUAUACAAGUGGUCUGUGAAAUCCCUGGGCUUAACCUGGGCAGGUCAGAUCAAACUGUAUGACUCGAGUAUAGGAGAGGGUAGUGGAAUUUCCGGUGUAGCGGUGAAAUGCGUAGAGAUCGGAAGGAACACCAGUGGCGAAGGCGGCUACCUGGCCUAAUACUGACACUGAGGCACGAAAGCGUGGGGAGCAAACAGG